GGUCGGUUAGCUCAGAUGGUUAGAGCGUGGUGUUAAUAACACCAAGGCCGUGGGCUCAAUUCCCGCACCGACCA